rnacentral:tRNA from 1 species
GGAGAGCUGGCUGAGCGGUCGAAAGCGGCGGUCUUGAAAACCGUUGAACUGAAAGGUUCCGGGGUUCGAAUCCCUCGCUCUCCGCCA